CUUACACUACCAUUUGAGAAAGAAUUCUCUUCCUCUCUCUAGAAUUGGGGCUUCGCUUCCGGUCCCCUUGGUGGCACUGAUGAAGAAAGUACCUGCUGGUUGUAGUCUUUGGGAUGUUGGAUGGACACCCUGUACCUGCAAUGGGGCUUUUAGCCUCCAAUAUUUUUUGUGCGGUGCUUCUAGCAGCCACAGGAAGUGAAGAGGCCGUGUAACUUUGGGCCGCCACGAAGUUGGAAGAAGAUGCGUGGCUAUGUGCCGCUACAUUGGAACAAUAAUUUUUAUACAAUUGAUACUGAUUUCUUAAUUGUUUUUUAAAUAAGGCAGGCAUGGUCAUUUGAUCUUUAAAGCCCAUGAGUUGUUGCCAUUGCAUGAAUUCUUCUUCUGUCCAAGGAAAAGACAUGGUUUGUGCUAGUUGAGCUUGAGAUUCUUGAGACUCUUCUUCUUCAACUAGGUUUGCCCAUUUUUUUGGACUGGAAAUUGAGAUUGGUCCUGAACUUUCUAUCAUACGAACUUGGGGGACUCUACUCAUGGCGUAGUCUGAUGGCUUUCUUUAUUUGGGCUGGUUUGGGCCAGCUGCGCCUUUUGGGAGUUGCUUGGAGGCAACUGAAAUUAUUUGUUGUGUGGAAACAACAUUUGUAUCAAACUGUUUGGGUAUUGUUUCAGUAAUAUUUUCCUCUGUUGGAGGAAGAGCAGGUACUGGAGGAUCUGAAAUAUCGGCUUUCUUUUUUCUUGGCGUUUUAUCUAUCUUCCCUGCAAGAAUUCUCUGAAGGAUCAGGGAGAGAUAAGCAAGGAAGGUUUUUGACUUUCAACUUGAUUUCUUUGAUAACGUUGGUGUGGACUGAAGUCCACGGAGGUGGAGGUUUUUUCAACCUAUCAUGGAGGGGUUUUAGCAAAUUUCUAAGGCUUGGAAUGAAAUCCGAUACAUAAUUAACACAUCCUAAAAAUCUUUGAAGCUGGGUCUUAUCUAAAAUUUGGUCAGGAAAUUUGUCAGCAAAUUGUAUGGAUCGUUGAAUAGGGACAAUGGUUCCCUGCUCAAUAUUGUGCCCAAGAAAUCGGAUGUUGGUUUGAAAAA